UCACACCUGUAAUCCCAGCACUUUGGGAGGCCGAAGCAGGCGGAUCACAAGGUCAGGAGUUCGAGACCAGCCUGACCAACAUGGUGAAACCCAGUCUCUACUAAAAAUACAAAAUUAGCUGGAUGUGGUGGCGGGCGCCUGUAAUCCCAGCUACUCAGGAGGCUGAGGCAGGAGAACUGCUUGAACCCAGGAGGCGGAGAUUGCAGUGAGCCGAGAUUACGCCACUGCACUCCAGCCUGGGCGACAGAGCGAGACUCCGUCUCAAAAAAAAGAAAAAGAAAAAAGAAAUUGCUCUCUCUGGUGAGCCUGACUUUUGAAGCAGACAAUGCAGAUGCUGGCAGAGCGAUCGGCUGCAAUGAUUGCAGCCAGGUUGAGCCAUUCAAACAAAAGCCCGGGACACCCCAGUGAUACUAAAAGCUAAGACCUGCAGCCCGGUGAGAGGCUGGAGAAGAGCAUAGCUAGACGUUUCCUUGGUGCACGCCUGAGUCUCUCUAAUUUAAGGUGUGGAAACCAAAUUUGCUACAUGAUGAUUUUUGAGUAACUCUUCACCUGUAAGCACCUAGCUGAAGCAUGAGGGUUCCUACACGAGGGGAAUCUCACUGUUGAGACCAGUCUCUAUGCCCAAGUGGUAAUUCACAAUCCAACAGAUACACAGAAUGUGGCUCUGUAUCUCCCUGGCACAUAAGAAUGAGUUGGAUGUGACGGAGCCUGAGA
rnacentral:lncRNA from 1 species